GAUCAAGUGUCGUAAGGGCAUUCGGUGGAUGCCUUGGCGCUGAGAGGCGAUGAAGGACGUGGUACGCUGCGAUAAGCCGUGGGGAGGUGCGAACAACCUUUGAUCCGCGGAUUUCCGAAUGGGGAAACCCACCUUCGAUCUCUGUUAUUCCGAGGACGACGACCCCGCGCACAGCGAGGCCGUUGUUUUGCACGGAAUUGCAAAGUCUUCGGACUAGCAGAGAUCAAAAGAAGGUAUUUAUGACUGAAUAAAUAGGUCAUAAAAGCGAACCUGGGGAACUGAAACAUCUAAGUACCCAGAGGAAAGGACAUCAACGAGACUCCGUUAGUAGUGGCGAGCGAACGCGGACCAGGCCAGUGCUUCUGUUUUUCUAACCGGAACCGAUUGGAACGUCGGGCCAUAGUGGGUGACAGCCCCGUACGGAUUUCGAUGAACAGAAGACUUGAGUAGGGCGGGACACGUGCAAUCCUGUCUGAACAUGGGGAGACCACUCUCCAAGCCUAAGUACUCCUCAGCGACCGAUAGCGAACAAGUACCGUGAGGGAAA
rnacentral:rRNA from 1 species